rnacentral:rRNA from 1 species
CCUACGGGAGGCAGCAGUGGGGAAUAUUGGACAAUGGGCGAAAGCCUGAUCCAGCAAUGCCGCGUGAGUGAUGAAGGCCUUAGGGUCGUAAAGCUCUUUUACCCGGGAUGAUAAUGACAGUACCGGGAGAAUAAGCCCCGGCUAACUCCGUGCCAGCAGCCGCGGUAAUACGGAGGGGGCUAGCGUUGUUCGGAAUUACUGGGCGUAAAGCGUGCGUAGGCGGUUAUUCAAGUCAGAGGUGAAAGCCCGGGGCUCAACCCCGGAACGGCCUUUGAAACUAGGUAGCUAGAAUCUUGGAGAGGUCAGUGGAAUUCCGAGUGUAGAGGUGAAAUUCGUAGAUAUUCGGAAGAACACCAGUGGCGAAGGCGACUGACUGGACAAGUAUUGACGCUGAGGCACGAAAGCGUGGGGAGCAAACAGGAUUAGAUACCCUGGUAGUCCACGCCGUAAACGAUGAUAACUAGCUGUUCGGGUACUUGGUAUCUGAGUGGCGCAGCUAACGCAUUAAGUUAUCCGCCUGGGGAGUACGGUCGCAAGNUUAAAACUCAAAGGAAUUGACGG